rnacentral:rRNA from 1 species
AUUGAACGCUGGCGGCAGGCCUAACACAUGCGAGUCGAGCGGAUGAAGGGAGCUUGCUCCUGGAUUCAGCGGCGGACGGGUGAGUAAUGCCUAGGAAUCUGCCUGGUAGUGGGGGAUAACGUCCGGAAACGGGCGCUAAUACCGCAUACGUCCUGAGGGAGAAAGUGGGGGAUCUUCGGACCUCACGCUAUCAGAUGAGCCUAGGUCGGAUUAGCUAGUUGGUGGGGUAAAGGCACACCAAGGCGACGAUCCGUAACUGGUCUGAGAGGAUGAUCAGUCACACUGGAACUGAGACACGGUCCAGACUCCUACGGGAGGCAGCAGUGGGGAAUAUUGGACAAUGGGCGAAAGCCUGAUCCAGCCAUGCCGCGUGUGUGAAGAAGGUCUUCGGAUUGUAAAGCACUUUAAGUUGGGAGGAAGGGCAGUAAGUUAAUACCUUGCUGUUUUGACGUUACCAACAGAAUAAGCACCGGCUAACUUCGUG